rnacentral:rRNA from 1 species
CGGGGUGCAGCAGGCGCGAAACCUCUGCAAUAGGCGAAAGCCUGACAGGGUUACUCUGAGUGAUUCCCGCUAAGGGGAUCUUUUGGCACCUCUAAAAAUGGUGCAGAAUAAGGGGUGGGCAAGCCUGGUGUCAGCCGCCGCGGUAAUACCAGCACCCCGAGUGGUCGGGACGAUUAUUGGGCCUAAAGCAUCCGUAGCCGGCCACGCAAGUCCUCCGUUAAAUCCACCCGCUCAACGGUUGGGCUGCGGAGGAUACUACGUGGCUAGGAGGCGGGAGAGGCAAGCGGUACUCAAUGGGUAGGGGUAAAAUCCUUUGAUCCAUUGAAGACCACCAGUGGCGAAGGCGGCUUGUCAGAACGCGCUCGACGGUGAGGGAUGAAAGCUGGGGGAGCAAACCGGAUUAGAUACCCGGGUAGUCCCAGCUGUAAACGAUGCAGACUCGGUGAUGGGAUGGCCUCGAGCCAUCCCAGUGCCGCAGGGAAGCCGUUAAGUCUGCCGCCUGGGGAGUACGGUCGCAAGACUGAAACU